rnacentral:rRNA from 11 species
GAAUACAGGCCUAAAUAUCCUAAAGGUAUUAGAGCCUAUCUGAUUUUGAAAGUUGAGCAGGGUCUGUCCUGGUGAGUACUUGAAUGGGAGACCACUAGGUGAUGUCAGGCUCUGUUUCU